GACGAACGCUGGCGGCGUGCUUAACACAUGCAAGUCGAACGGAAAGGCCCUGCUUUUGUGGGGUGCUCGAGUGGCGAACGGGUGAGUAACACGUGAGUAACCUGCCCUUGACUUUGGGAUAACUUCAGGAAACUGGGGCUAAUACCGGAUAGGAGCUCCUGCUGCAUGGUGGGGGUUGGAAAGUUUCGGCGGUUGGGGAUGGACUCGCGGCUUAUCAGCUUGUUGGUGGGGUAGUGGCUUACCAAGGCUUUGACGGGUAGCCGGCCUGCGAGGGUGACCGGCGACAUGGGGACUGAGAUACGGCCCAGACUCCUACGGGAGGCAGCAGUGGGGAAUAUUGCACAAUGGGCGGAAGCCUGAUGCAGCAACGCCGCAUGCGGGAUGACGGCCUUCGGGUUGUAAACCGCUUUCGCCUGUGACGAAGCGUGAGUGACGGUAAUGGGUAAAGAAGCACCGGCUAACUACGUG
rnacentral:rRNA from 1 species